rnacentral:rRNA from 1 species
CGAACGAGAAAGUGGAGCAUCCAUGAGUACAGUGGCGUACGGGUGAGUAACACGUGGGUAAUCUGCCUCUUAGUGUGGAAUAACCCUGGGAAACCGGGGCUAAUACCGCAUAAGCUCGAGAGAGGAAAGCAGCAAUGCGCUGAGAGAGGAGCCCGCGGCCGAUUAGCUAGUUGGCAGGGUAAACGCCUACCAAGGCAAAGAUCGGUAGCCGGCCUGAGAGGGCACACGGCCACACUGGCACUGAAACACGGGCCAGACUCCUACGGGAGGCAGCAGUGGGGAAUCUUGCACAAUGGGGGAAACCCUGAUGCAGCGACGCCGCGUGAGCGAUGAAGCCCUUCGGGGUGUAAAGCUCUUUCGGCAGGGACGAUCAUGACGGUACCUGCAGAAGCAGCUGCGGCUAACUACGUGCCAGCAGCCGCGGUAAUACGUAGGCAGCGAGCGUUGUUCGGAGUUACUGGGCGUAAAGGGUGUGUAGGCGGUUGCUUAAGUUUGGUGUGAAAUCUCCCGGCUCAACUGGGAGGGUGCGCCGAAUACUGAGUGACUCGAGUGCGGGAGAGGAGAGUGGAAUUCCUGGUGUAGCGGUGAAAUGCGUAGAUAUCAGGAGGAACACCGGCGGUGUAGACGGCUCUCUGGACCGUAACUGACGCUGAGACACGAAAGCGUGGGUAGCAAACAGGAUUAGAUACCCUGGUAGUCCACGCCCUAAACGAUGCAUAUUUGGUGUGGGUCAUUCAGUUGAUCCGUGCCGGAGCUAACGCGUUAAAUAUG